rnacentral:rRNA from 1 species
GUUCUUACAUGUUGUCGUGUGGCAUUUUUUGUUUCUAUUUGUGGAAGAGGGUAGCGGCGGCUUGUGCUGCCGGUGGCGUGCGGUGUUUUACGUUUACGUAGGGCUUGUUAAGGCGUAGGACCUUUAUAGGGGUUUGGGAGCGGGCGGCGGCUGGCUGCUGGAGGUCUAGAGGCGAGUACCUACUGCUGCCACGGCGGAGGGGCAGCGGGAGCGGCAGUGGCAGCGCGAGGGGAAGGGGCGAAGGCCAGCGGCUGGGGCAGUGGCAGCGGCGGCACGGGGGGCCGGUGGAGCGGGAGCGGUAGGGAUAAGUAUUCGUACCAGGGAGGUCGUCGCCGCCGCCGCCCCCGCCCCCGUCCCUCCUGCGGACCUCGCUGCCGCGGUGGAGGUGCGACUAGCUGCGGACCCCACUCGCGAAACAGCGCGAGCCGGCGCCGUCGGAUGCGGUGGGCGUCACCGUCCUCCAACGGCUCCAGCAGAGGAGGGCGCUACCGAUGAGGUUCGGCGGGUUCAGGCUGCAGGUCACGUUCUUGGCAUAGCUGUGGGAGUUCUUCUUCAUGUUUCAGCUCUUCCGGUUCAGCCUGAGGAGUACCGGUAAGAAGCUGGCGGAACUGAAGGAGGAGCGGGGUCAGGUCUUCGAGGACCCGUUAAGACCGCCCCGUCGUCCUUUAAAACCGAGGAGGUUAGGGUCGUUGGCCUCGUGGCGUGGAUACCGGGGCGCACAGUUGAAGGGAGUCGCGUGGGCGUGCCGGAAAGGGAGCUAUCCAUACUUCGCCUCCGACGGUAGCGGCGGGGUCCGCAGUCGUAGCAGCCUCAGCAGGCUGCCCAAGGGUGGACUUGGUGACCGACUCCGGCACUUGCCGUUCUCCGUUGCGGAGCUCCUCAGCCGCUUACCUCGCCUGUCGUCGCUGGCACGUGUCCCGGACGCGCUGGACCGUGUCCGCUAAGCUGCCGAACCCCUCUGUAUGCUCGCGCACCACAGGAGUUUUCCCCUCGUACUCGAGGCCUACCUCGCCUCGGCGGACCUACGGCGUGCGCUCGACCUCCUGGUCGCACACGUCAAGAAGGAGUUCUACCUCUACCUCUAGAGUUUCCGGUUGUUACCACGAGGUGAGCGACAGGGUGAACGACGGCGACGGUACCAGCCAUUAAGUCGGAGAUGUCGUCUUCUACCACUGAGCGGUCGAUGACGACUACCGUUGCCAGGUUCCUCUCGGAGAUACCGUUGCCUACAGUCCCGGUCGUCGUUAGUGGUACAGGCCAUGGCACAGUUCCUGCUGUCCGUAGUGGUACGGAGUGCCGCGGGUAGAAUGGUCAUGUUGGUCUUGUUACAACCACGACGCCUACGGCCUCCGUAACCAUCACCGUCGCUAAGGCCAUUGUUCCUUCUGCUCCUUCUCUACCUUCCGCUUCUCCUUCUCUCGGUCAUUCCAGUGAGGCCCCUAUCGUCAAGUUCUUAAACAUAGACAAAAAAUCCAUUCUUAAACAUAGACAACUAACCGUAACGGGACCAAUUUUAACGAGGGUCAAUACGACCAGAUAGAGCCUCGUUUACCGAUGACUCGAACAUCACCAUAAUCGUUGGUCCUCAUCGUCUCAAUACCACUUGUGGACACCCACCCUACAAACAUCAUUGAACAUCGACGGACAAACACGAAAACUACACUAAGACACUAUAAUUCCAACAGGGAGGGUCCGGGUCGCUUACAUCGUACUAAUCAAUAUACCACCACAAUUCCAAACGAGGAAAACCUUAGUACUGGUCACACGGCUUGACACGAGUCACGAAUAGAAGACAAACAAACUCAUUGUAUGCAGGACAAAACUCAAGAGUUGUCAUCGGAUACCGGUUGAACACUUAACA